rnacentral:lncRNA from 1 species
AGCCGGCAGUGGUGCUCCCCAGGGCCGGCCCCGCUGCUCGCCAGAGAAAACCUCGAGCUCUCCCGGGGCACUUAUCGGGGCCGUGCACUCCGCUCAGGAAGGAAACAUCGGCCAACCCACCCGGAUCCUGCACCGGGCACCGCCGCCUCCCCGAGAAACGCCAGCAGCAGCAGCACCCCGGCUGCUGGGAGGGGAGGAAAAAUUAAACCAAACCAAACCAAACCAAAAGCCCCGAGGGGCCAGGAGGAAGCGAGCGGGCCAUGAGGAACGUGCGGGCACAGGGGAUGGUGUUUGCAGCCGGGGCGGCGAUAACGCCGGGAAGCGAGGCUCUAUCUCUGCCCAGCCGCUGCCCUGCCGAGCACGUCCCGCCAAGGUUGCAGGCGAGGGGAGAUGUUAUCUGUCCCUCGCCAGCCUCGCCGGGCCCGGCUUCUCAGAAGAGCCGCCCAAAGCUCGGGGCCGUCCGGCGUGCGGGCAGCGCGGGACAUGCGCCCGCAGCAGCCGGGCAGAAUCCCCGAGCAGGGCCCCGUCUAUCAGCACCGCCAGCCUGCCCGUGACUCAGCAUCCUCCGCCCCGCUCCCGCUUCCUCCCGGCACCCGGGAAUCGCCGCCGGCACGCUCAGAGGAUGCUCCCGCAAAAUGCGGAGGGAAGCGAGGCGCUCAUGCGAACGGCUCCUGAGCCAGCCAGAGGAGCCGGCAGCACCAAGCAGUGCCAGGGCAGUGCUGGGAGCCAGCACCUCAAUCCUGCCACCCUCUCCCGGAGGAUGAGCAUUCAGAGCCAGCUGGCCUCGCCACGGAGGAGCUGCCGGAUCCAACUCGCCACCUUCCCACCACGGAACAGCUAUCCAGGGGCUGUGGCCGCAUGGGAAGGUCACCCUGCACCACAAAUGCAGCCUCGAGGGGAGGUGUGAGGGAGCAGAGCCGUGCCCCUGUGCCCAGCCCUGCUCACGCUCUCCGUGGGUGCAGCACCAGCACCUGAAAAUGAAACCGGCCCCACUCGCCGCAGUUCCACGCCAGUGACGUGCAUAGGAAAUGUGAUUGAUGCGCCGGCUCUCCCAGAAAUAACUGUUCCCAACCGGAGGAGAAGCGUUUGCAGCUCCCUUUGUAAGCACAGGACUAUUCAAAACUCAUCCCAAGGAUUAUUUUCAGGAGAGGGCGAAGCGAGGGGCUGGGAGACGCCCUGGCCGGCCCCGCAGCUCCCCGCUUCCUGAGUGGCAGAAAUACAAAGUUCCCACAAUCCCAAGAGCGG